ACGUUUCUUGUUGUUUUCUGCAACAAAAAAAGUAAAAUAAAAUCUGUAUAUCACGUGCUAGCAGCUAAAUUAGCAACUUUAGAAAACUAAUCAUGUAAUACAAUGAUGAAGCUUUACUUUAAUUCUACUGAAAGCUACAGAAACAUGGCAUUUGGGCACCAAAAUAGGAGAGCCCCCAACCUGAACAUACAAAUGCAAUAAAUCUGGCAUCCUCUACCCAAAAUAUAAAUAUCUAUUUAGUAACACCAACAAAGAUUCAAAUAUCAUAUAAAUUUAGAGUAAAUAUAUCACGUUCCUGAAACUGAAAGUAGUUUUCAAUUGUCAACAGUUUCAAAAUUUUCAUCCGAUUAGUGUUUUUUCUAUACAAAGUUAAAGUUCAUAUAUCAUCUCCAAUAUACAAAGUCUCAGAAUUAUUCAAACCAUGCUUCAGGUGCUUUCCAAAUCUUUGCCAUUCUUUUUAAUACAGAGAAUGCAAUUACUGUAUCACACGCUAUUGAUAAGUAUGCAUAUUCAUAAAUAAGGUAGAGAUAACAGAGAAAAAUUGUCAAACAUUAAAAGAUCAGUGCAUUACCUAUGAAUAUACCAUCAUAUCAAACAUAAAUAAUCAGAAUUAGCACAAUCUACAGUACCUUUCAAAACAGAAGUGCAUCCAAAUAUGAUCGAUAAGAUCUGAAAUGAAUAAAGUAAGUAAAUGCGUAAUCAACAAAAGCUAAAACAACAUGACUAUUUCAAAACUGACAUCUUCAAAAUGGUAAAAGAAAUUUGAUGCGCUACCAUCUAAAAGAGAACAAUAGACCCGGGAAUAUCAAUCUAUACCUAAUAGGAAGAACAUAAAGGAAAAAAUGAAAGCCAAUAGAAGAGCAAUACUUGCCGGAGUCUGAAAUGCUGAACACACGUAGGUAUAACUAUCACAACAUAGUGAAACUGAAAUAAAAAAGAUUAAACAUCAGUAAUAUACAGGCGUAGAUAAAGAAGAUGGAGAAAUGUUCAAAACUACAUCAAUAAAUAAAUGAAAAUAGAAGUGCAACAGAAAAAUCAGGGAGAAAAGCAAGCAAAACAUUACUGCAAUAAAGAUACCAUAUCGUGAAUAAAAGUUUGAUAUUGAAUUCACAUACAGCAAAUUGAAUCUUAAGAUAUUUCUGGCAAAAGAUGGAAUACCGGAUGGAGAGAUCUAAAGAGAAUCUCAUUUCCUUGCAAUUUAUUUUGUAUUUUGAGCCUUUCCAAUAACUUAUUUUAUUUAUUUGGGUUCCUUCACCUUAUAAUUAGGGAAGGGGCUGGUUUAGAAGACAUUCUGUAUAGAUAUAGAAAACAACUGAGGAUACUCAAAGACUUGCAAAACGUAGGUGAAAUUAUAUCACAAGCACAAUACACUACUGAAACCACUUCCUAUAUUAGAUCAUUUUACCACUGACUCUAAUUCUUCGAGAAAUUGCAAGAAAAUAAACAUAUCUCUUGAAAUUAAAUUAGAAUUUAAAAGGAAACAAUCACAGUAAUGUAAGUUGAUGUUUCCCAGUAAUUUAGACCACGAAGAGGAAAACUACGAACUUACCCUAGGAGAAAUAUCAAUGUUGGAGUCUCAAUUUGAACCCUUCGACAUCAAACCUGGCAAUUAUCGUACAAUUUUCUCUGUUUAGUUGGUACUUGAGAAUACCUAGAACACAAAACUCGAUUUCAAAUCCAUAAUUUGAAAAAUAAACACAUAUUAUCAAUUUCCAGCAAAAUAUUACAGCUAAUAUACACAAGACCAAAUCAACA
rnacentral:lncRNA from 1 species